rnacentral:rRNA from 1 species
AUGGUGACGGCGGGAAGAAGCAAUGCCGCCACCGCCCUGGCAGUGGCGCUGGCGCUGCUCGGGAGCACGGCGUGGGCAGCCGUGGCGCCGUACCAGCCGAGGCCGGCCGCCGGCGGGCCGCCGUCGGUGCCGGCGGGCCCCCUGGACAUCGUGAUGCUGGGGGCCAAGGGCGACGGAAAGACGGACGCGACGCAGGCGGUGAUGAAGGCGUGGAAGAACGCGUGCGGGGCGACGGGGACGCAGAAGAUCGUGAUCCCGCCGGGCAACUUCCUGGUGGGCGCACUGGAGCUGUCGGGCCCCUGCACCUCCUCCAUCAUCAUCCGGCUGGACGGCAACCUCCUGGGCACCGGCGACCUCACCGCCUACAAGAAGAACUGGAUCGAGGUGAUGCGCGUGGACAACUUCGCCAUCAACGGCCACGGCAUCAUCGACGGCCAGGGCCCCCUCGUGUGGGAGAAGAACCAGUGCAGCAAGCACUACGACUGCAAGAUCCUCCCCAACAGCCUGGUGCUGGACUACGUGAACAACGCGACGAUCCGUGGCAUCACGCUCAAGAACGCAAAGUUCUUCCACCUCAACCUCUUCAACUGCAAGUCGGUGCUGGUGGAGAACGUGGAGAUCACGGCGCCGGGGAACAGCCCCAACACGGACGGCAUCCACAUGGGCGACUCGGAGGACGUGACCAUCAAGGCGACCAACAUCGGCGUCGGCGACGACUGCAUCUCCAUCGGGCCCGGCACCAAGCACGUCAAGAUCCACGGCUCCCGGUGCGGCCCCGGCCACGGGAUCAGCGUGGGCAGCCUGGGGCGGUACAAGGACGAGAAGGACGUGGAGGACAUCCAGGUGACCAACUGCACCAUCAAGGGCGCCACCAACGGGCUCCGGAUCAAGUCGUACGAGGACUCCAAGUCGGCGCUCCGGGCCACCCGCUUCGUGUACGACGACGUGAGGAUGGACAACGUCUCCUACCCCAUCGUCAUCGACCAGAAGUACUGCCCCAACAACAUCUGCGCCAAGGCCCCCGGCGCCUCCAAGGUGGUCGUCGCCGACAUCGUCUUCAAGAACAUCGUCGGGACGUCGGCGACGCCGGAGGCCGUCACGCUCAACUGCGUCAACAACGUGCCCUGCCAGGGCCUCCAGCUCGUCAACGUCAACCUCAAGUACACCGGCACCAACAACAAGACCAUGGCCGUCUGCAAGAACGCCGUCGGCAAGUCCGUCAACGUCGUCAAGGAGCUCGCAUGCCUCUGA